rnacentral:rRNA from 1 species
GCAGUAGCCGCGGGAAUACGUAGGGUGCGAGCGUUAAUCGGAAUUACUGGGCGUAAAGCGUGCGCAGGCGGUUGUGUAAGACAGGUGUGAAAUCCCCGGGCUUAACCUGGGAACUGCGCUUGUGACUGCACAGCUAGAGUAUGGCAGAGGGGGGUGGAAUUCCACGUGUAGCAGUGAAAUGCGUAGAGAUGUGGAGGAACACCGAUGGCGAAGGCAGCCCCCUGGGCCAAUACUGACGCUCAUGCACGAGAGCGUGGGGAGCAAACAGGAUUAGAUACCCCUGUAGUCCCUGUCUCUUAUAA